UCCUGGCCCUGGUCCUGGUC
rnacentral:miRNA from 1 species